UACUCGUUCCUGGCCCACUCCAGCCACUGGUGCACGUCUCCCUCCGUCCACGUCUGGGGGUCUAGGGAAUGUCAGAUAAUUAUACAAUCAGAAUUGUUGGUUCAACAUUAUAUCAUUUUAAGGUGUUUUUCGACCAAUAUCAUAUAAAGCUAAACAGGAAAAGAUCUCUUAUGAUGAUAAAUUGCAUAUUCAUGGGCAUCUCGACUUGUUAAAAUUUUCUUUUAGAUGGAUCCAAGGGCAAGAUUUACCUACCCAAAUACCAAAAUAAAAAUUCAUGUUAUAGUAAAUACCAGUAGUGUAUACAAAGUAU